rnacentral:misc_RNA from 1 species
UAAUAAGUGUUUUAUGGCACUUUUUAAAUCCAUAUCCACCUUGUGUGCAAUGUCAGUCGAUCUUCUUCAUGGAGAUCGACCAAACAUCAACCUUUAUUUUUUAACUCUUUGUCUGAAAGAUAUUAUGAAUAAACAAUUCAAAAUA